UUGAGGGGAUCAAUUCCUAAAUAUGUUGCUGCCAAACAUAGGGAAGAGAUUUUUAUGUCCUGAUAUAAAAAUAUACAAAGUCAUAAAAAUAAGCUAUUGCUAUGCUAUCACUACUUUUUAAUAUUUCUAGAGCCAUCUUAAUGCUCAGUGUACAAAUCUUAUGAUUUUUGAAUCAUAAAUUCUUAGACACAAGGCAUGGGGUCAGUUCCUCCUCUGUAGCCGAAGGCAUGCUGGGUAGCGGUUGUAUAACUAGUGUGACUGGGCCUGGGCCAAGCCUGAGCUCAGCCUCUUGGAGUUGGGGUUAGAGGAGUGAAUAGGACAAUGGGGAUCGGAGGGCUUUCGUCCCAGUCCUGACCCUGCAGGCACCGCCAUGGUCAUGCAUUUCAAGACUGGGCACCUUGGCGUCCCCCUCUGUGAAAGGGGUAUAGCCAGUCCACCCCUCCUUUCCCUGAUAGGUUGGUGUGCAGUGGGGAUGGAACAAGAAUGCAGGCCCAGGACAGGCUGGCAAUGUCUUUUAGAAAUCAUUCCUGCACAUUCUGAGGCCAGUGCCAUGACAAAUAAAAAUGUUUGCUGAGGAGGGCACUGCCCAGGAAAUCCAGCUCUGAUGGUUGAAGAAAGCCAUCUGGAAGUCUCCAAAGACCAGGGGUUCUGAAGAUGCCAAACAAGGAAAUGUGACAGUCUGAACAGUCAGCAGUGUCCCUGGGAUGGCGUACAAGGAACAAUCUGAAGAGGGACUGCCAGGAGCUGUCCUUUUACUGCACUGGCACCACGUGCAGAAGCCCAGGAUGGGCGGCCAAGGUCAUGUGCCCUCAUAGCCAGUGUCUGAGGACAUUAGAAGGAGCCUUAGACAUGACUCAGUGAAACGUUUGCUUGUGCGCAAGCAGGAGGAAAAGUUUUUGUUCCAAGAUCCCACAGCUAAUUAGUGGCUGCACGGAGAUGAGAAUGCCACUCUGCAGAUGCCAGGAAGAAGAGAAUUUGCAGGAUGCUGGAGGGAAGGCCCAGAAGGAGCCCUAUAUUCCCUGCAAGUAGCUGGCCUUGACCCCAGCGGGAUGCAGCUGGGCCCUGAUAUCCAUGGGCCCCUUCCCAGGUAAAAAUAAACUUCACAGUCUAUCAACUAUACUUCAAUUUUAAAAGGAAUUCCAGCAGCAGAUACCCAACUAUUACAAACCCACCUAUUACCUAUUACCACCUAUUACCCACCUGUUCCUGAGGAGGGCCUCGAGAAAUACAUUUCCAACAACCUAGACAGAGCGGAGAGCGAAGGAGUCCUCUGGGGUGAUGUCAGUGACACCACAAGAUCCCUGCUUUCCAGAACACUUACACCACCUUCUUGGUGGUGAAUAAAUGAGGGCCCUUUUCUCCUCUGAGUUCUGAGAAGAGCAGCAGGAAGAGGAGAAGUUUAUUUAUUGAGGACCUGCCAUAUACCAGGCCCUUUGCUAGAAAGUUCAGUGCUUUAUUUCCAAGCCUCAGUGUGAUAUCACAGGGAAAGAAUGAAGUUUUCCAACUCACAGUCGAGGAAAUUGAGGAUUAGGAGGAUGUCGUGAGGCUGGUGUUCAAAAGAACCUUUGUUGCUUAGUAAAAGCAAUCUUCUGUGGCCAAUGCAAACGGGAAGCUCCUUUCAAGGUAUAUAGUGGUGGCAGCCAAAGAGCUCAUCUCGGUUUUAGUAGUCUUUAUUUAGUCUCUCUUGUUUUUACGUGGUGCCCGGCUGUAUUCCCAUGUUGAAACACUUACAGGGAUCUCUAUGGGCGGAGCCUGUUCAGCUUCUUUUCCUCGUCCAACUAGAAACGCACUUCACUCUGUCAUGUCAAUCCAUCCCAUCCUCUCAGCUGGUCACUCUGAGUGUUCCAGAAGGUUGUUAACAGGCACAGAUUGUCCCUUCCGUCUAGCCAGGGCCAGAUGGCAUCGGCUGAUGAGACGCCGGCCAUGCUCUCUCUGCCCGCUUCAACCACCUCCCUGUCAGGCACUCCGGGCUACCCUGCCUGGGUACUGCUUCCCGUAUUACAGCCCCAGGGCCCUGAGAGCCUCCUUUCACUGGUUUCCAUCUGACCUUGAGGUUUGCUUGUGUUUAUCUGGAACCCUUCAAUGAGGGGAAGGUAGGAGGAACCCACCCACAGAUGAGCAGUCAGAGGUUCUGUCCAAACUGAAGAUCAAGUCAAACAUUUGAGGGUAAGUACAGUGGCCUUCUAAAGCUGUCCAGAGCAGUUCAGGGCUGCCCUUUGGAGAUUCUCAUUCAUUCCGGAAUUGCCCCGAAACUGCCAGUACUGACCGGGAAGUCAAGGCCUACGCUUCAGCAGAGCUCCAUCUAGCGGAACCGCCUUCAACUGCAAGCUUUAUGCCGCCAAGGGAGUCCCCGUUGCGUAAGGGAUCUGGCACUGGCUUCUUAUUUUCGGCUCUGUGUCAACGGGAUGAUUGGGCAUUUCCCAAAUCCAAAUAAGUCGUGUUAACAUAUCGUGGAUGUAAGCAGGGUGUAUGUUAACUGAGAGAGGCUACUUCAAAGCCUGAGAGCUUGAGUUCCACGUCCUCUUGACUCCGGGAGAGCAGAGUGGGAUCUUAUACUGGGAAGGAGUCUCUGGCUGCUGGAGUAGUGGAGAGGAGUAGGGAAGAAGAGGAGAGAACAAGGCACAUGUCCUGGAAAUUUCCAUGUAAGAUCAGGCAUGGGCAGAUUAAAUGAAUGCUGUCCUAAUGAACACAGAGGCAGACAGAUGAGCUGCCUCCCAGGCUUCGGAAGCUGGCUCUCGGCCACCCAGAGGGAAAAUCCCCAUCUCUCCCCACCCCGCCAGGCAGGCAUUGUCAGGACAUCCUAAAUGUUUAAAUUCUUUCUACAAUGCCUGUUGCCCAAUGUGUUCUGAACAUAAAUGAUUUCAGUCCUUUCAUUCCUCUCCUUUAGAGGCAGCUUGCUACAAUUUUGUAGGGUUAGAAUUUCAGGGAAUCAACUGCUCAGAUAAACUCUCACCACCCAGCUACCCUGGAACUCCAUGAGGAAUAGUGUAUCGUUUUCUAAGGCUGCUUUAAUAAAGUACCACGAACUGGUUAAAGCAAUAGAAAUGUACCCUCUCCCGGUUUUGGAGGCUGGAACUCCAGGAUCCAGGUGUCAGCAGCACGAUGCUCUCUGAAGGUGCCAGGAGAUAAUCUGUGCCUCUCUCCCAGCUUCCUGUGCUUCUGGCCAUCCCUGGCCUUCCUUAGCUUGUAGACGUGGCACACGAGCCUCUCCCUGUGGCAUUACACCGUGAUUUCCCAUCCUCUUCCCUCUGUGUGCGCCUGCGUCUUCAUGUUCCACUCUUCGUGCGUCUCCUCUGCUCUUCUCAUGAAGACACCAGUCACACGGAUCAGGGACUCAGCCUCCUCCAGUGUGACCCCAUCUUUACCUCCUUCUUGAUGCCAUCUUGCAAAGAUCCUAUUUUCAGAGAAGGUCACAUUCACAGGUACUGAUUGUUACGACUUUAACGUAUCUUUUUGGGGACACAUUCAACUCAUGAGAAAUAGGAAGGGACAACAGCAGGCAGAAACCACAAGACCAAUGCCAGUGUCGAGGGUGGGGGAGCACAGAGGCAGGGACUCCCCAUGGCGGUCGAUGGUUGUUUUCUCGAGUUCCCACAUUCUUAUCCCUCUAGAUACCCAUUACAGGAGGCUACAUUUGCAAACCAGACAAGACCCCAAUAUCACAUACUAUUAUUAGAAUAAGAUUCAAAAUAUAUUUUAAACAUAUGCCAUUUAUUUUUGGUGGGUGUGCUGGAAAUAAAUAUGACCCAUUUUAACACACUCUGUGCAUUUUCACUGAAAAAGAGCCAACCAGAAAUAUGCAGAAACUGGGGCACCUGGGUGGCUCAGUGGGUUAAAGCCUCUGCUUUCGGCUCAGGUCAUGAUCCCAGGGUCCUGGGAUCGAGCCCCGCAUAGGGCUCUCUGCUCAGCAGAAAGCCUGCCUCCUCCUCUCUCUCUCUGCCUGCCUCUCUGCCUACUUGUGAUCUGUCUGUCAAAUAAAUAAAAAAAAAAAAAAUUAAAAAAAAAAAAGAAAUAUGCAGAAACUUUCUUCUCAGUCAUUUUACCUAGGAUUCCUUCUUUCUCUCUCUUUUUUAAAUUUACUUAUUUGAGAGAGAGAGAGCGAGAGCAGUGGGGACAGGGAGAAGGAGAAUCCAGGCAGACUCCCCAUUAAGUGUGGAGUCCCACGCAGGGCUGGAUCCCAUGACCCUGAGAUCACUACCUGAGCUGAAACCAAGACUCAGAUGCUAAACCAACUGUGCCACCCAGGUGUCCCUCUAGGAUUCUUUCUUAUCUGCUAUGUUAUCUAUUUGCUAGAUAAUUCAGUAGAUCCUGUUGCACCAAAGCAUACAACACUCUUAUUCCUUAUAUUUUUUAUAACCCUAUUGCCUUAUUACUGAUAACACAAGCAUGUUUGCAACACUUAAGUGCUGUCCUUAUAGAAAAUCCCUCCUUUCAAAUAGACUUAAUAGCGACACUGAUCACUGGCUGAUUGCUUCUAGGGGCCGGACAUCACGCUAAUUGAUUUAUAUGCAUCAUUUUAUUUACUUCUUAAAAUAAGCUUAUGCUCUAAGUAUCAUUUCUACUUUACAGAUGAGGAAGCUGAGCUUGGGCAGCAGAGUAUCUUGCCCCAAAUCACACCAGCUGUUUAGUGGUGAAGCUGGAAUCCGGAUUCGAGUUCAUGAUUCAAAGUUGUACUGGGCUACCUUCACAUAACAUCUUCCACAGUCAGCCUGGCAGAUUUUCCUUGGCAAAUCUUGCCCCUUUUCCUUACCCCAAUCUCUGCCUCACAAGAAGAGCAGCUCAGGUUUAGGUAUGUAGACAAAUGCCAAAUGGUCCAAACCCAUUUCAACAUUCUCACAUUUUACUUUCUUCCUUUUUUUUUUUUUUUAGAUUUUUUUUUUAUUUAUUUGAGAGAGAGCAUGAGAGGAGAGAAGGUCAGAGGGAGAAGCAGACUCCCCAUGGAGCUGGGAGCCCAGUGCGGGACUUGAUCCUGGGACUCUGGGAUCAUGACCUGAGCUGAAGGCAGUCGCUCAACCACCUGAGCCACCCAGGUGGCCCCCACAUAUUACUUUUAACCACUAGAUGGAAAUGUGCCUAUUUUCUCAUCUCCAAAAUAUCUUGAGCUCUUUAACAAAUACAUUUGUGAAUUCAUCUCUCCUUUUUGGGCCCCUGAAAUUCAAGUGGCCACAGAGCCAGAACCACAUUAUUAGUGAGUCAGAACACAGAGAACUAGGCCAAUGAACUACCCUAUUCAUCACAUUAUUAAAAGUGACAAACAUUCCACAGCAAUUCCAGAUGGUGGUCGAAUCAACAAUCAAUUUACAUACAAUAGACACUAUAGGGUUAGAAACUACAUGAAUGUAUGUUUCAAUUCAUAAAGAGCUACAUCCGUGUAAUAAUCAUAAUAAAAAUUAUGUAUCUAAUGAAGGUGAAGAAGAGAUGAGCAACUUUAAAAAGGCCCUGGUAGUUUGCUAUAAAAUCACAUGUAAUCGUUACGGACUAUGUAUGGGCAGUGUUUCUGCAUGGAACACAGUACAUGAUGGAGGGGUUGUCGCAUCUGCGAGUAUGUGCUUGACCUCAUCGGGCAAUGUGCCAGGCCCAGUGUAAGGUAUGGUGUGUACACCGGUGAAGCAGAUAACAUAGCUCCUGGCUCGUGUCAUGGCCUACGCCAUGGCAGUUACAACACAGAGAGAUCUGCCCUGGGAGUUCUGUAUGUGUAUAUGUGUGUGUAUGUAUGGGUGUGUAUAUGGGCAUGUAUAAACGUAUGUGUGUGCUUGUGUGUAGAGAGCUGAUUUUCACUAUUCAUUUGUGAAUUCACCUACUCACUAAAAUAUAUUGAAAACCUCCCAAGUCAAUACCUGCGCUUCUGUGGUCAGUUGCCGAGAUGUGCGGAGUGGUCCAAAACGCGGACCCCUGAAGCGACACGUUCCCAGCUCGGGGUAAACCAGGCGGCGCUACCUGCAUGUUUGAGCCAUCACGCUGCAAAUGCGUCCUUUCUGCCAUCUACUUAGCGUCAUGUUUCUUGCAUUUUUUGGUGCUUUUUGUUGAUUUCGCUAUUUAAAAUGUCCCUGAGUGUAGAGUUGAAGCACUGACCCGUGUCGCUAAGUGCAAGAAGGCCGGGCUGUGCCUCACAGGGAAACCAGGUGGGCUAGAAAAGCCUCCUUCAGGCCUGCGUUAUAACGCUAUUGGCAUGAGCUCAAUGUAGUUAAUUAACAAGAUACAUUAAAUAAGCUGUCUUUUAGAGGAAACCCACAGAAAGCAAGCUUAAGUACUGACCAGCUGAUGAAAGAAAAUAGGAUCUAAACUCCAAGGAAACUAAACUAACCCUGUGUUUCCCCCAGGAGAAGUGGGGCAGGAUUCACGGCGACCUUAUGGACCUUUACUACUCUGAAUCAGAACAGACUCUUUGUCGUAUACACACACAGAGUUAUACAGAGUACUGGGAGAAUCCCACGUGCUCCUGAGGAACAGAGUAUCUACAAAAAUCAGUACGGCCGCUCGGCACCCCUCAGAUGAGUCGCAUGUACACAGAUGAGAGGAGGAACGUGGAGGAAGAAAAUGAUCUUUCUACCAGGAAGUGGCAAAGAAAAAUAAGGCUGGAGAUGCAGAACCCAGAGAGCGCGCUAGAGCGAGAGCCGACAGGCCUCCAAGCUCAGGAGAACCAAGUGCGAGGGGCCUGGGAGCCGUUGAGGGGCGGCCUGAAGAGCAGGACCCUGAGAGAGAAAUGACAACUCCCAACGACAAAUCGGAGGUCCUGCUCUAAGAGAAAGAGGGAAGUGGAAUGUAUAGACAAUAGGUACCCGAGCUGAGCUGACCUCCUUCUUGAUCCUUUAGAAUUGAAAUCCUGCUGAUGUCACGCAAAUCAUCUCUGUUUUGGACCUUGUCAGAAGUUUGAACCUGCCGUUCACAUCGGUCAGCGCCAAGUGGAACAUCACACUUCAUUUCUUAAGUGGUGACUUUCCUGACGCUGUUGCCAAUUUUAUAUUUUAUGCAUUACAUUUCCUUUUCUGAGUCAUAUUGAUGAAUGAAAAACUGUCAGAGUUUUGAGACAAAUGUAGGAAAACUAGAGAGAACUGUAAGAGAGAUGCAUUAGCUGCAGGGUUGGGGGUUGACUGGGCAGACUUCAGCAGACUGGCCAUUAGGCAGACCUGGAUAUGAGUUUGAUUAUUAAUGAGGGCAUCAUCGAUGAUAAAGGGGUUGUGACAGCAAGCAUUACAAGUAGUCAUUAUAUGCCAGAGUCAACUUAACACACUUUAAUCACCACAGCCAAUAUAAUUGAUUUCAAAGUCUUCAUAGCUUGAUACUCAAAUAAAUUGGUAGUUGGUGAAGCCACGCCCACUGAUGGUUUCAGUCUACGGUGGAAAAUCCAGUCCUAGCAGAAGAUGCUCACAGGGAAGAUUUUUUUCUUGUUUCCACCUAAGCCCAAAGACCCCUAAUAAAAAGUCUAGAUUAGAAAUCGCCUUCUCCAAGUGAUUUUCUGAGAGUGAACCCUACUCUCCUAGGACACAGCUUUUGACUUCAAUUAAACCCUCCUUGAAAUGCAGUUUGGUUAGUCAAAUAGAGGCACUGUUAUCUCCCAGCGACUCUCAGAAGAGCCCCACCAAGGAUAUUUCCAGGAGAUUUUUCCUCAAAGAGGGAACUCUUUGAAAGUUUUGCUCAGAUGCCUACAAUCUCCCUAAAAGAUCACAGGAGAAUAUUCCCAGCGGAGGUCUGACGUUACGGCACGUGCUAGCCUGGCUGAGAGUUACUGCACAUAAUUUUAUGCAGGAAGGUGCGAGCAUGCUUUAGACAUCCAAAUUAAUAUUCAGAAAUAUGAGGUGUGGUAAUGAAGAGAUUUUGGCAGAAGCAGUUGGGCAGCCCUUGACAAUUAGAGUUGAGAAAAUAUACUGAGAUUUCUGGAGCAUAAAUUAUGAAAUAACUUUCCAACUUGACAUUUACAGAAUUUCAUAUUUUCCAGCAUUCCCAAAGAGAAGACAGACGGCCCUCAGAGUCAAGCGUGUCCCUCCAUAUACUGAGAGGCCAAAGUCAGAGCAGAAAGAUGGUAUGUGCUGCACGUGGGAGAGAUAAGCAAGCAGAGCUCUGGAGGUCAGAAGUCUGAACUGGGUCUCGCUGGGCAAAAAUCAAGCUGUGGACUGGGCUGGGCUCCUUCUGGAGCCUUCAGGAGAACGUUUCCUUGCCUUUUCCUGCUGCCAGAGGCUGCUCCAUGGUCCCUGGCCUGCGUCCCCUUCCCCUCACUCACAUCACUCCCUCAUCUGCUCACAUCGGUUACCUCGGCCUCUUCUGUAGUCGGAGACCCACGGCUCAGCCUCCCAAGAGGCCAAGGGGGCUGAGAAAGUGAGGAGUGGUAUGGCCCCUGAGACAGGCCUGAGGAGUGGCUUUCCCCUCCCCUCACUCCCUUUGCAGCAGAACUUCUGAUGGGAUAAGCAGACAGCCAGGCCCAAAGCCACGAAGCUGAAGAUCUCUGUGUCUGAGGCUCGCUCGGGAAGAACACGGCCAUCCGCCUUCCCACCGGCUCAGGAGCGGACACGGCUCGCGUGGGAGGAUCCACAGCACCAUUCGGGACGGCCUUCCCCCAGAUCUUCUGGACAGACUCACAGCACCCGUGGGAAGCACAACCUGAUAGAGAAUUUCUUGCUCUUCUUGUCAAGUGGAGACUCAGAACUAUGUUUGAUUUGGACCAAAAAAAACGGUAACAGGACACGUUCUACUUGCCAUGUCGAUGCUGCCCCACAGCUGUUCGUGGAGAUGAGGCAUAACUGACUUUCAAAGCAAAUAUUCUGAUGGGUCAACUUUCCCAUGAUGUCACGAUUAUCUGCUGCAAGAGGCCUGGUUUUUGUAAAAUGAGUUUUCUAAGCUCCAAGGCUUUUAGGUCCCUUUCUUUUCUACCUUCUGGGCAUGGGCAACUCCUGAAAACAACAUGCAGACAAGCCUCCAGGUUUGGACUUUUAUUCUCCGUAGCUAUCAAGAGGGCCGGAUUAGAGCCCCCAGGGGCCUGUCAUCAGAACUCUCUGCCCUUCCCCCAGUUUUAACGUCCCCCCUGAGCAGAGGUCACAGCGUGCCUUCAGGGUCAGGUGGGAGGGUUAGAGGGAUUAGUUGGUCAAACCUGACCAGCUUUGGACUCCAACCAUCCAUCCACCCGGCGACUGGUCGGGAUGAGAGCCCAGACAUGUGGCAGGAGGAGCCGGGUCUCACUACGCAGCGACGCAGAUCAAACAGGAAAGACGGCUGCAUUUAUUCAGAAGCGUGAAGGAACAUUUGCUAUUUGAAACCUGAGGUGCCCGGUGGCAGCGGCUUCUCUGUUUGAAGGGCACCGGCAUCGUUCAUUUCUAUGCAAAAACGAAUCCUCUCCUGCUGGGGGGGAGCCGGGGAGGCCGAAGAGUCGCAGCCCCUGCGGUCUGUCGUCACCUGGAGCGGAUGGCCUGGUGCUCAGGGCACACGUAGGUGCCCUUGGCUGUGGAGGCAGGCCGGGGGCUGAGUGAAGGCCUCAGGGGCAGCUACGCUGCUUGAGAAAGUACAGGAUGGAGUCCAAGGUUAGGGGCAAAGGAAAGCACCAGCUGGGGGAGGGAGUGGCCAUGACGGACAAGACACAGAGGCUAUGGAGAAAGCUGCGCUGCGAGAAAACUCCAACAUCGGGGAUUUACGUCAUCGAUGUCACUUGCACUUCGGCAGGUGCCGAUCCUGAGAACGCUCCCUAACAAACUUCCAGCAGCUCGUCUCCAUCUCAGAGUGAGUGUCCCAGAGAACGCAACCCGCAACACCUGCGAUGGAACCACUCUCCAGAAGACUUUGGUAGAUGCCCUCAAAAGAGCUGUCCUGCUGCAAACCAGCGGCUGUUAGGAGACGGGAAGCUGCGCCUAACUCCUGCUUCCUCCUGCCUUCUCAAGCCGCUCAGAAACAGAACCUUGCACUCAACAGAAGCUCAUUAAGUAUUCAUUUAAUGCAAGAAAGAAAGGCGAUGCCACCUUUGCCACGUGCCUCUUCUUGCUGUCCAGACCACGACACCGUCUAUUCUGUCCCGGAACCUUGCGCUGUUUGAUGGAAGCUAUUCUGUGUUCAUCUCGGUCUCCCCGCUCCCUGUCACCGAGUCUGGUACACAGUAGGUGCUCAGGAAGGUAUGUCUUGGAAAAACGUUCCGCAGCCCAAGAGCAGUGUUUAAUCAUCUAUCACUGAGUCACAGCUAACCUCAAAGCUUUACCAACCCACUGGAUGGCUCAGUGGGUUAAGCAUCUACCUUCGGCUCAGGUCAUGAUCCCGGAGUCGUGGGAUCAAGCCCCGCAUCAGGCUCUCUGCUCAGCAGGGAGCCUGCUUCCUCCCCGCUCUCUGCCUGUCUCUUUCUCUGCUUGUGAUCUCUCUCUCUGUCAAAUAAAUUAAUAAAAUAUUAAAAAAACUAAAAACCUUACCAGCUUAAAAUGGCCAUCGUUACCUGCUCGCCAUUCUGGGCUUGGCUGGCCGGUCCUCUGUGGGGCUACUCAGGAGACUGCAGGGUCUGAGAAACCUUCGCUUGAAAGCCGGGGGCCACUGGCCAGAAGCCUCUGUCCUCGACCCUACGACCUCUUCCGCAGACAAGGGCAAGAGCCGCUCCCCCGCAGGUAGAAGCCCCAGCACCUGGUGUGUCCAGCGACUGCGGGGCUCACACCGCCGGCCCACAGCGGCCAUUACCGGUCACGUGACCCCGCCCCGCGGCGAUGUGGGCGGGGCUGACGCCAGGUGCAAUACACCGGCGGAGAGAUUCAUUAGAGUCUGUAAGUCGUGCCUCUACCUCUGGUCCCCAAGUUAACCCAGGCUUAGGCACUUAGGGCCAGAAUUCUGGAAGAAUUGUCUUCCAGGGGUUCCUAGAUGAUUGGAUCUUGGAUUUAGUCAGAGGCAGUCAAUCAAACAACAACAACAACAACAAAAUGACUAAGGAAUAGUUGGGCAAAACCCUAAGGAGGAGCUCGGUGCAAACCAUUGGACUGCCCCCGACAGCGGCAGCAGGUAAUUGGUGGUAAUUGCCACAGUGAAGAACAACCACCUCCUCUGACUCAGGCCGGCUCAGGCGUUCUAUCUCCUCCUAGACCUCUAAAUGUAAGGGGCCUGGCCACCUAGACUGGGGAGGGGAGUGACUCUGCUAACAACGAGGGCUGGGGCUGUGAAUGAAGGGAUCCGAAGAAAGGGUUCAGGGGCAGGUCUGGGACCUGGACGCAGAAAAGUCUCAGCCCAUACCCUUGGCUGCUGAAUUGGUCAGCAAAGGACAGUGGCUGCUCCCAGCCCUCCUACGUCCUAGUGCUUGGCUCACUAUGUACCCUGAAACCUCAGAGCUCAGCACCUAGUCCUCUCUCCAUGCAUCUCUUGGAACCCCUGAUUGUACUCUGCUCUGAGUAAUUAGUAAAAUUAGUUUGUAGUAAUUAUAUCAUUUCUCUUCUCAUCCCCUUUAACAUAGUAUCAACACUUAUGCAAAUUGGGGAUAUUAUCGAUAAUCAAGUAUUUAUAUAACAUCUGCUGUGAGACAGAAAUCAACUGAAUUAAGAAUUUUCAAGGUGAUCUGUUUCAAUUCUGGAGACUUCCAGAACUCCUAGGUCCUAGCUGGGAAGUGAUUUAUUUGGGAAGUAUGGAGGGAGAAGUGUUGUCCACGGCUACUAAUAAACCAGGAGAGGUGAAUUCGUGUUUGCAUGCAUUACAAAUCAAGGACAAGUUAGGAUCAGGAUAGACCACCCUGGGGUUAAUCGUGUAGAGAUACAUUUACUCCUGUCCUGGCUGUUAGGUUCUUUGGGGCAGUGCUGUCCACAGUAGGAAGAUAGGAGGUGGGAGCACCUCCUCUUUCAAAAUAAAGUCAUGUUUAUAGGUAUCCCAUUUAUAGGACUCCAACAUAUUUUGAGGAAACACAAUUCAACCCACAUACCACCCCCCUCCACAGGCCAUAUGUCUGGGAAAAGCCUUUCUUCAGUAGCAGCUGGGACAGGAAUGCCUAAGAGACUCAGAGCCCCAUCUAAGAUUUGGUCCAGAAGUCUCUGAAAUCCUGGAGGAAAAAACUGACCCCCAAAUUCUAAACCUUUAGUGGUUCUCCAUUGGGCUGAAUUCCAACUAGAGGCUAGAAGUCACCUUUGGGAGUGCAGAUGAUUCUUUGGGGAAAAAUACACUGAUUGCCCUUUUAUAUAUGCAAAUGAAAGCAUGUAUCCUGUUCUGAAAUAGGACGACUCAAGGUAAAGGCAUUUUUAUUAUAAGAUAAAAAUCUGUCUUCAUAAAUCUAUAAAGUGAUUCUGGGGGAAGCAGUUAGGCUUGGAUUCUGGGUAGGGUAGAAAUGGUUUUGAGUGCCUUCCUUUGCUUGGGGUGGGGAUGGGAGAAGUGGAUGGUGGCUGGGAGUAAGAGGCUAAGGAGCGAGUGACCCUGAAGCCGUAGGGAUGUGUUGGAGCUAGCUCCUGUAAAUUUGGGCUCCUGUAAAAUUGUAAAAUUGUCAGGGAUUUUGCAAGCUGGUUGAUAAGCACAGCCAUCAUUAGAAAUCAAAUUAUGUAGGGGCACCUGGCUGGCUCAGUCGGUAGAGCAUGUGACUCUUGACCAUUGGGGUCGAGAGUCUGAGCCCCACACACUGGGAAUCAGACUCCUCUAGCCCGUUGCUAAGCAUCUACCAACACACGGCUGGCAGGGGGACACCGUGGAGGCUCUGGGAGUUGUCCUGUUUCCAAGGCUGUUUGUUUCCUCUGCACCCGGAAAGGGGAAUCAAGGAGCAGGCUAGUGUCUGAGCCCAGGGCAAAUUAACAUAGAGGAGCCCAGCAGCAGGGCAAGCAGGUGACAAGGUGGCAGGAGGCGACGUGUACGUGGCGUGCAGCUCAAGCCACAUGGCUGACCUCCAGCGGUUCAUAAGCUAGGUGAGCUCAGCGCUCGCAACUGAGCUCUGCGGGCCCAGCUCCAUUCUGAAGCCCCCAGAUAAAAAAGAAUAUAUAAACAUAGCUUGUGUAUUCUCAGAAACCAUCUCACAAGGGAACAUCAGAAAGGACGGAGUUUCCCACCAUCCCACUGGCAGGGGCUCCCGCUAUGGUCUGGAAGCGUGAAAACCUCUCAGUUCCGGAAAGUCAACUGCGGUCUUCCUGACAGGCUUUCUCAAGACCUACAAUGACCAACUGUGCCCCAGGACCCUCCAAGAGGGGACCAUUUGUAGCAUUUCCCAAAGUUAGCUGUGCACAAAAUAUCUCAGGGGCUAACCCUCCAUGAAAACAGACUUUGGGAAUCUCUAACCUAGACACAUGUACAUUAUGGAAAAUGACCUGACCCGGCACAGCUCAGUGAUCCUGAAAGAAGGAGGUGCUUGUUACUUUCCCCACUCAUGACUGUGCUCAGGUGGGCCCACCCUUAGCGCCCUUCCUCCUCACCCCGUCCCCCAAAGUACACGAGGGGAAGAAAUCUUUUUGCAAUAAUCUACUGAGGAGCAGCAAACUGCAGGAUAUCGGCAACUCCAUCAUGUGGCCAAAAACAUCAAUGAGGGUCAGGGUCGCCAAAGUUAGCAAAUAAAAAUAUAGGAUGUUCCAUUAAAUCUGCAUUUCAGGGGCACCUGGGUGGCUCAGUGGGUUAAGCAUCUGCCUUCAGCUCAGGCCAUGAUCUCAAGGUCCUGGGAUGGA